rnacentral:rRNA from 1 species
AACGAACGCUGGCGGCAGGCUUAACACAUGCAAGUCGAGCGCCCCGCCAGGGGAGCGGCAGACGGGUGAGUACCGCGUGGGAACGUACCCUUAUCUACGGGAUAGCUCCGGGAAACUGGAAUUAAUACCGAAUGUGCCCUUUGGGGGAACGAUUUAUCGGAUAAGGAUCGGCCCGCGUGGGAUUAGCAAGUUGGGGGGGUAAAGGACUUCCAAGGCGACGAUCCAUAGCUGGUCUGAGAGGAUGAUCAGCCCCAUUGGGACUGAGACACGGCCCCAACUCCUGCGGGAGGCAGCAGUGGGGAUUAUGGGACACUGGGCGCAAGCCUGAUCCCGCCAUGCCGCGUGAGUGAUGAAGGCCUUAGGGUUGUAAAGCUCUUUCACCGGAGAUGAUAAUGCCGGUAUCCGGAGAAGAAGCCCCGGCUACCUUCGU